UAGAAGAAAGCCCAGUUCCUUUGUGUCUGCACAAAGUCCUUACGUAAACUGAGAGGGAUGAGGACCUUCUGCAUGAAAACAACAAAUACUGAAAUUAUUCACUCUUAGUCCAAAAACCCUAUGUCCAUACAUAAUUGGGAAUAAUUUUCAUCCAUUGUUAUUAUUCAUACAUAUGAGGAAGCGGGCUCAGUUGCUGAGUGUGAUCCUUUCUGCUCUUUGGAAAAAGGCCCCAGAAAUUACCAGCAUGCCAGCUGUUGGUCUCUGAGGUGGAAAGUGCAUUUGAGAUGAGGGCCAGCGGAUCAACUGUUUAAUUCAAUCUGUGACAUGUAUGCAUGAAGGCAAUCCAUACAUUGAAUACCACCAGGACUGCAAUAUUUUCUUGUCCAUGACUGAAUGCAAACGUAACAGAAAAAGCAGUCUUGAUAACGCAGCAAACCAAUUGUUCAUAUCUAACAAAAGCUGAUCAUGUUAAUGCAUAAAAAAAUGCUCAUAGCACAAAUUCAAAUGUUAUUAAUGCUGGAAUCUCUGAGCAUAUGUUAUAUGUUAGGGGAAAAGAAUGUAUACCUCAUGAAUUUGAGCAACAUUCAAGGGCAUUGUGUAGUUAUUGAAAUUAUGCGUGAAGGCAUUUAAUGGUGGGAGGUCAACGAUUUUGGCUGGAUCUCUCUCCAAACAUAUUGAGUUGUAAAACUUGGAAGAAUAGUAAAUACAUUUCUCCUUUCUGUGUUUCAAGCUUUUUCUGAAGCCAACCCUCUAUUUACAUUCACUGCUUGUUCUGGAUAUGCAUGUUCUUUUCACCAUAUAUUUAUUCAAUUAAAGAAAUGAAGUAUUGUGCGGAAGAGUGAAUAAAUGGUAUAAAAAUGUAAUGGUUGUGGUGGAUCAGGUUCUCAUUCUCUUACUUGUCUUCCAAGGAGCACAGUGAUUUACUUGAGAAGUUGUUGCUUGAGUCUGAAGAGAAAUUUAAUAGUUAUGAAUGAGGAAAACAAAGCAGUAUAAUGUGUAUAGCAAAUAAGAGAAUGUAAAAUUUAGGAAGAUACAGAGUAAGGAAAAGAGACGUGCACAAGAGUUAAGUGUAUAAAACCAGUCAAACAGUAACUGAGGUGAGUAAAGAGUUUCUUUCGAAUUCUCCUACUAUCACGUAUUUCAUGUCUUCCGUUCUCCAAAUAAAAAAGCAUCUGUUGAAUAAAAUAGACAGAUGAAUACUGAAUUUGCUAUUUCUAAACCAGAUGUACUUGUAUUUAUUUCUUUUUUUAUACACUUAAGAGAAAAAUCACAAUUUACAUUCUGGGAGAAAUCCAAAUGAUCUAAAAUGCUUUUUCUGUUAUACAAAAGCCUGUGAAAGUAUUCCUGGUAGGGAUGAACAGGAUAUUGAUAAGCAGAGAUGUGAAAAUUUUAAGUGUGUGGGGUGGUUACUGGAGGAUUGAUGAAUGCUGGGAAGGGUCCUGGCCCAGCAUAGCUGCCCUCCAGUUCAGGGGUGAGAACAGACGAAGGAUGGAGCCAUGUGACUGUGUAUGGGUGCCCCAACGGUGGGGAAGGGGCAGCAAACUGAAGGGAGGGAUCCUACAUUAGGUCAAGGAGCAUUUGUGACCAGGGCCGACACAGGCACCCUUUAUGCUAAUUUGACUACUGCCUGGAGAGGUGUGUAGUGACCCUCUAUCCAGCAUGAGCUAUGGCAUGGGCUUAGUGAGAAGCACCUCUCUGAGAUCAUGCACAAAUUUUACAAAAUCCUUUUGUCUUGUUAUCUGAAAGUGUGAAGUGCUGUGGUACCUGUUAUGUGCUGGAGGUUUUUGAUGUCAAAAUUAUGAAAGAUCAUGAUGGUCAUCCCAGGUGUGGGGAUUAAAUGUUAGACGUGCAUAGGGAAGGGAAAGGGAUGAGCCUAAGGUAGAAAUCAUAUGGGUAAUUGCUAAAAACAUCUAAAAAUAAACUGCUACUUUUUUUCUGUGGAAGGUUCUAUCUGUUCUAACAACAUAAUUUGGCAUUUGAAUGAAAAUAUA